rnacentral:rRNA from 1 species
GGGCGUUAAGUUGCAGGGUAUAGACCCGAAACCCGGUGAUCUAGCCAUGGGCAGGUUGAAGGUUGGGUAACACUAACUGGAGGACCGAACCGACUAAUGUUGAAAAAUUAGCGGAUGACCUGUGGCUGGGGGUGAAAGGCCAAUCAAACCGGGAGAUAGCUGGUUCUCCCCGAAAGCUAUUUAGGUAGCGCCUCGUGAAUUCAUCUCCGGGGGUAGAGCACUGUUUCGGCUAGGGGGCCAUCCCGGCUUACCAACCCGAUGCAAACUGCGAAUACCGGAGAAUGUUAUCACGGGAGACACACGGCGGGUGCUAACGUCCGUCGUGAAGAGGGAAACAACCCAGACCGCCAGCUAAGGUCCCAAAGUCAUGGUUAAGUGGGAAACGAUGUGGGAAGGCCCAGACAGCCAGGAUGUUGGCUUAGAAGCAGCCAUCAUUUAAAGAAAGCGUAAUAGCUCACUGGUCGAGUCGGCCUGCGCGGAAGAUGUAACGGGGCUAAACCAUGCACCGAAGCUGCGGCAGCGACACUCAGGUGUUGUUGGGUAGGGGAGCGUUCUGUAAGCCUGCGAAGGUGGCCUGUGAGGGUUGCUGGAGGUAUCAGAAGUGCGAAUGCUGACAUAAGUAACGAUAAAGCGGGUGAAAAGCCCGCUCGCCGGAAGACCAAGGGUUCCUGUCCAACGUUAAUCGGGGCAGGGUGAGUCGACCCCUAAGGCGAGGCCGAAAGGCGUAGUCGAUGGGAAACGGGUUAAUAUUCCCGUACUUGGUGUUACUGCGAAGGGGGGACGGAGAAGGCUAUGUUGGCCGGGCGACGGUUGUCCCGGUUUAAGCGUGUAGGUGUGUGUUCCAGGUAAAUCCGGUUCACUUUAACACUGAGGCGUGACGACGAGGCACUACGGUGCUGAAGCAACAAAUGCCCUGCUUCCAGGAAAAGCCUCUAAGCAUCAGGUAACAUCAAAUCGUACCCCAAACCGACACAGGUGGUCAGGUAGAGAAUACCAAGGCGCUUGAGAGAACUCGGGUGAAGGAACUAGGCAAAAUGGUGCCGUAACUUCGGGAGAAGGCACGCUGACACGUAGGUGAAGUGAUUUACUCACGGAGCUGAAGUCAGUCGAAGAUACCAGCUGGCUGCAACUGUUUAUUAAAAACACAGCACUGUGCAAACACGAAAGUGGACGUAUACGGUGUGACGCCUGCCCGGUGCCGGAAGGUUAAUUGAUGGGGUCAGCGCAAGCGAAGCUCCUGAUCGAAGCCCCGGUAAACGGCGGCCGUAACUAUAACGGUCCUAAGGUAGCGAAAUUCCUUGUCGGGUAAGUUCCGACCUGCACGAAUGGCGUAAUGAUGGCCAGGCUGUCUCCACCCGAGACUCAGUGAAAUUGAACUCGCUGUGAAGAUGCAGUGUACCCGCGGCAAGACGGAAAGACCCCGUGAACCUUUACUAUAGCUUGACACUGAACAUUGAGCCUUGAUGUGUAGGAUAGGUGGGAGGCUUUGAAGUGUGGACGCCAGUCUGCAUGGAGCCGACCUUGAAAUACCACCCUUUAAUGUUUGAUGUUCUAACGUGGACCCGUGAUCCGGGUUGCGGACAGUGUCUGGUGGGUAGUUUGACUGGGGCGGUCUCCUCCUAAAGAGUAACGGAGGAGCACGAAGGUUGGCUAAUCCUGGUCGGACAUCAGGAGGUUAGUGCAAUGGCAUAAGCCAGCUUGACUGCGAGCGUGACGGCGCGAGCAGGUGCGAAAGCAGGUCAUAGUGAUCCGGUGGUUCUGAAUGGAAGGGCCAUCGCUCAACGGAUAAAAGGUACUCCGGGGAUAACAGGCUGAUACCGCCCAAGAGUUCAUAUCGACGGCGGUGUUUGGCACCUCGAUGUCGGCUCAUCACAUCCUGGGGCUGAAGUAGGUCCCAAGGGUAUGGCUGUUCGCCAUUUAAAGUGGUACGCGAGCUGGGUUUAGAACGUCGUGAGACAGUUCGGUCCCUAUCUGCCGUGGGCGCUGGAGAACUGAGGGGGGCUGCUCCUAGUACGAGAGGACCGGAGUGGACGCAUCACUGGUGUUCGGGUUGUCAUGCCAAUGGCACUGCCCGGUAGCUAAAUGCGGAAGAGAUAAGUGCUGAAAGCAUCUAAGCACGAAACUUGCCCCGAGAUGAGUUCUCCCUGAGACUU